rnacentral:rRNA from 2 species
AGACCCGAAACCCGGUGAUCUAGCCAUGGGCAGGUUGAAGGUUGGGUAACACUAACUGGAGGACCGAACCGACUAAUGUUGAAAAAUUAGCGGAUGACCUGUGGCUGGGGGUGAAAGGCCAAUCAAACCGGGAGAUAGCUGGUUCUCCCCGAAAGCUAUUUAGGUAGCGCCUCGUGAAUUCAUCUCCGGGGGUAGAGCACUGUUUCGGCUAGGGGGCCAUCCCGGCUUACCAACCCGAUGCAAACUGCGAAUACCGGAGAAUGUUAUCACGGGAGACACACGGCGGGUGCUAACGUCCGUCGUGAAGAGGGAAACAACCCAGACCGCCAGCUAAGGUCCCAAAGUCAUGGUUAAGUGGGAAACGAUGUGGGAAGGCCCAGACAGCCAGGAUGUUGGCUUAGAAGCAGCCAUCAUUUAAAGAAAGCGUAAUAGCUCACUGGUCGAGUCGGCCUGCGCGGAAGAUGUAACGGGGCUAAACCAUGCACCGAAGCUGCGGCAGCGACGCUGAUGCGUUGUUGGGUAGGGGAGCGUUCUGUAAGCCUGCGAAGGUGUGUCGUGAGGCAUGCUGGAGGUAUCAGAAGUGCGAAUGCUGACAUAAGUAACGAUAAAGCGGGUGAAAAGCCCGCUCGCCGGAAGACCAAGGGUUCCUGUCCAACGUUAAUCGGGGCAGGGUGAGUCGACCCCUAAGGCGAGGCCGAAAGGCGUAGUCGAUGGGAAACGGGUUAAUAUUCCCGUACUUGGUGUUACUGCGAAGGGGGGACGGAGAAGGCUAUGUUGGCCGGGCGACGGUUGUCCCGGUUUAAGCGUGUAGGUGUGUGUUCCAGGUAAAUCCGGUUCACUUUAACACUGAGGCGUGAUGACGAGGCACUACGGUGCUGAAGCAACAAAUGCCCUGCUUCCAGGAAAAGCCUCUAAGCAUCAGGUAACAUCAAAUCGUACCCCAAACCGACACAGGUGGUCAGGUAGAGAAUACCAAGGCGCUUGAGAGAACUCGGGUGAAGGAACUAGGCAAAAUGGUGCCGUAACUUCGGGAGAAGGCACGCUGACACGUAGGUGAAGUGAUUUACUCAUGGAGCUGAAGUCAGUCGAAGAUACCAGCUGGCUGCAACUGUUUAUUAAAAACACAGCACUGUGCAAACACGAAAGUGGACGUAUACGGUGUGACGCCUGCCCGGUGCCGGAAGGUUAAUUGAUGGGGUCAGCGCAAGCGAAGCUCCUGAUCGAAGCCCCGGUAAACGGCGGCCGUAACUAUAACGGUCCUAAGGUAGCGAAAUUCCUUGUCGGGUAAGUUCCGACCUGCACGAAUGGCGUAAUGAUGGCCAGGCUGUCUCCACCCGAGACUCAGUGAAAUUGAACUCGCUGUGAAGAUGCAGUGUACCCGCGGCAAGACGGAAAGACCCCGUGAACCUUUACUAUAGCUUGACACUGAACAUUGAGCCUUGAUGUGUAGGAUAGGUGGGAGGCUUUGAAGUGUGGACGCCAGUCUGCAUGGAGCCGGCCUUGAAAUACCACCCUUUAAUGUUUGAUGUUCUAACGUGGACCCGUGAUCCGGGUUGCGGACAGUGUCUGGUGGGUAGUUUGACUGGGGCGGUCUCCUCCUAAAGAGUAACGGAGGAGCACGAAGGUUGGCUAAUCCUGGUCGGACAUCAGGAGGUUAGUGCAAUGGCAUAAGCCAGCUUGACUGCGAGCGUGACGGCGCGAGCAGGUGCGAAAGCAGGUCAUAGUGAUCCGGUGGUUCUGAAUGGAAGGGCCAUCGCUCAACGGAUAAAAGGUACUCCGGGGAUAACAGGCUGAUACCGCCCAAGAGUUCAUAUCGACGGCGGUGUUUGGCACCUCGAUGUCGGCUCAUCACAUCCUGG